AUGUGCUUCAACCUCAUAAUAAAGCAACAACCUUGUGUGAAACCCAAAUAUGGGUUUGAACGUGCUGUCCCUCCAGAGCAUGGAUAUGUUCAGUCAGGCAUUUUCCGAACCUGGCUAAUGCAACCCCUUAUGUUUUCUUUGGGAGCUCUGCUAAACCCGCUCGUCACAGAUGUGCGAAGUGUGAUAGCGUCCAUCCCCCUGCACCUCAUUAACGUUUCCUCCUGUGCAAGUGUGAAAAUGACUGGAGAGAAAAGAGGAAACUUAAGGUGCCAGGCUGGAGAAGACAUGGGCUCCCUCUUCUGCAGCUGA
rnacentral:lncRNA from 1 species